rnacentral:tRNA from 1 species
GGGCCAAUCGUAUAGUGGCUUAUUAUGCUGUCUUAGGGUAUAGGGAUAUCUAAUAGGGAUCCCGCGUUGUGUUUCUACUCCCUCAAUUCUAAGUUGACAGAGGUCCCCGGUUCGAUUCCGGGUUGGCCCC